rnacentral:rRNA from 1 species
AUUGAACGCUGGCGGCAUGCUUUACACAUGCAAGUCGGACGGCAGCACAGAGAAGCUUGCUUCUUGGGUGGCGAGUGGCGAACGGGUGAGUAACAUAUCGGAACGUACCGAGCAGUGGGGGAUAACUAAUCGAAAGAUUAGCUAAUACCGCAUAUCUUCUGAGGAAGAAAGCAGGGGAGCAUUUGGCCUUGCGCCUUUUGAGCGGCCGAUAUCUGAUUAGCUAGUUGGUGGGGUAAAGGCCUACCAAGGCGACGAUCAGUAGCGGGUCUGAGAGGAUGAUCCGCCACACUGGAACUGAGACACGGCCCAGACUCCUACGGGAGGCAGCAGUGGGGAAUUUUGGACAAUGGGCGCAAGCCUGAUCCAGCAAUGCCGCGUGUCUGAAGAAGGCCUUCGGGUUGUAAAGGACUUUUGUCAGGGAAGAAAAGGGCGGGGUUAAUACCCCUGUCUGAUGACGGUACCUGAAGAAUAAGCACCGGCUAACUACGUG